rnacentral:lncRNA from 1 species
GAUUCUUCUGAGGUUUAAUUUGCCAGAACACAUUCACAUACAACAAUAACAAAGGUAACUUUGUUCCAAUAUUUCUUCCUUUUUAUGAGCAUUUAUUUAUUUAAAUUAUGUCUUAUACUAUUUUUAUUUAUAAAAUAUCACAAUCUUGUAUAUUUGUGUGUGUAUUUCUUUUUUAUGUAUUUUUGGGAUUUAGAAAGAAGAAAAGAAGAGAAAAAAGACUCAUGGUGAAAAAGAAAAAGAAGUCAAAAACCAAGGUGCUCAACCAGGAAGCUAAGCGUGGACCAAGCCACGCUAAGCUGACCUGGACACAAGCCUGACCUGGACACUAGCUUGACCUGGACACCAGCCUAACCUGGAUCAAGCUGCUCAAGCAAGCAGCUGAGCGGACCUGCUUGGCCGCUCAACCUAGCACUAGACUAGUCCUGGAAUGGUCAGAACUCCGCUUGACACGGUCAGACACAAGCUUCGCACAUGCCCAAGCUGCUGAACAAGUAGCUUAGCGGUCCAACCAAGCAGCUUAGCGGAGAACCAGACUCCUGACCAGAUCAACAAGCACAAGGAAAAUUUCAUAGCUGACAACUAGCUUUGAUGAGUCAAGCAUAAGGAGGUGACAAAGUUACUUGACCAAGGGACCAAACCCAUGCUGAAGAGUUCGGUCAACUGCUUAGCGGGGCUGACAAACAGCUCAGCGACCCAGAAGAAUUUCUAUAAAUAUGGCACAUUCCAUUCGAGCAAAAGGGCAUCAAAUUCAUACCUCUCUCACAUUUUCACUCACAUUUUCACUCACAUUUUGCCUAGAAAUUCUUCUCUGAAGUUCUUUCUUCUUGUUCUUAGCUUAGGAACUUUAUUUAAGUUUUGUAAUUUUAGUUUAUAAUUCAAGAGGAGAAAAAGGAGAAGGCAAAUGAGAUACACAAAUCAAUUUUAUAAUCUCAUUUGGAACUCAAAGCAUCUAAUCCUUGGAUGGAUGGCUCAUGCUCCUAACAAUUUCUUUUGAAUAUGGUUAUGAAUUUCUACUUCUUCUUAUAUUCUAAAAGAUUUGAAUUUUAAUCAUUCAAGUUG